rnacentral:lncRNA from 1 species
CACCACUAAUAUUUUCAUCCCAAACCCCUUAUUUCACAUUCAAGCUCAACACCAUUUCUACCUAGCUUUUUUCACAUUUUUGUGGGUAAUGAUUUUAACUUAAACUUUUUAAGUUUUUGUUUCUUUUUUUUAUUUAUUAAAAAUGAUUGCUUGUUCUUGGUUGGUCUUUUGAGAUGGUUUAGAUUCAAGCUUGCAAAAAAAGAUUGACUUUGGUUUACUCACCUUUUUUUUUUUUAAAGAUUUUUUACUCUUACUAUCUUUUUUUUCACCUUUUUGUGGUUGCUUUGUGUGUGUUAUCAUUUUCUUUUAUUAUGGACUUGUUGUUGUGUUUGUUUGGUUGAUGAGGUCUAUUAGAUCUUGACCAUGGUUGUUUAGAGUUGAUUAAAUCUUCAAUGUUUCAAAUCUA